rnacentral:SRP_RNA from 1 species
GGUGGACCCGAUGCUGGCGACGGGCGGGAGCGCGGUGGAGGCGGUGCGGGUGCUGCGCGAGGCAGGCGUCCCCGAGCAGAGCAUCGUGUU